CCCUUAGAUGUUCUGGGCCGCACGCGCGCUACACUGAUGCAUUCAACGAGCCUAUCCUUGACCGACAGGUCCGGGUAAUCUUUGAAUCUGCAUCGUGACGGGGAUAGAUUAUUGCAAUUAUUAAUCUUCAAUGAGGAAUGCCUAGUAGGCGCAAGUCAUCAGCUUGCGUCGAUUACGUCCCUGCCCUUUGUACACACCGCCCGUCGCUCCUACCGAUUGGGUGUGCUGGUGAAAUGUUCGGAUCGGCCGUUUGUCGCGGUUUCCGCGGCUCGUGGCUGAGAAGUUCAUUAAACCCUCCCACCUAGAGGAAGGAGAAGUCGUAACA
rnacentral:rRNA from 1 species